UUUCAAUGAUGACUACAUCUAGGUACAUUUCUGGCAUCUCUAAUGUUAGGGUGGGCGUUUAAGUACUUCUCACUCGAUGAAUAGAAACCUUUAACCAUAAUAACUGAAA
rnacentral:snoRNA from 15 species